GGUAGUCCACGCCGUAAACGAUGUCGACUUGGAGGUUGUGCCCUUGAGGCGUGGCUUCCGGAGCUAACGCGUUAAGUCGACCGCCUGGGGAGUACGGCCGCAAGGUUAAAACUCAAAUGAAUUGACGGGGGCCCGCACAAGCGGUGGAGCAUGUGGUUUAAUUCGAUGCAACGCGAAGAACCUUACCUACUCUUGACAUCCAGAGAACUUAGCAGAGAUGCUUUGGUGCCUUCGGGAACUCUGAGACAGGUGCUGCAUGGCUGUCGUCAGCUCGUGUUGUGAAAUGUUGGGUUAAGUCCCGCAACGAGCGCAACCCUUAUCCUUUGUUGCCAGCGGUUAGGCCGGGAACUCAAAGGAGACUGCCAGUGAUAAACUGGAGGAAGGUGGGGAUGACGUCAAGUCAUCAUGGCCCUUACGAGUAGGGCCACACACGUGCUACAAUGGCGCAUACAAAGAGAAGCGACCUCGCGAGAGCAAGCGGACCUCAUAAAGUGCGUCGUAGUCCGGAUUGGAGUCUGCAACUCGACUCCAUGAAGUCGGAAUCGCUAGUAAUCGUAGAUCAGAAUGCUACGGUGAAUACGUUCCCGGGCCUUGUACACACCGCCCGUCACACCAUGGGAGUGGGUUGCAAAAGAAGUAGGUAGCUUAACCUUCGGGAGGGCGCUUACCACUUUGUGAUUCAUGACUGGGGUGAAGUCGUAACAAGGUAACCGUAGGGGAACCUGC
rnacentral:rRNA from 1 species